GUACGAGCAACCCCUGCUGAAUCUGAUGAAGAAGUAGAGAUAGAGAGGGAUGUUGGUGAUGUUGGAUCCUAAUUUCAGUUCCUAUCUCACCACAGGACCUUGGGCUUCAAAAUUCUUGUGACCUAUGCAACUAAGUACUAUUUGGAAAAAUGUCACUUCAAGUCAGUACCUAUUUGUAACCAUAAGGAUUGUCUUCUUGCUUCCAGGAAUAGCACAGUGGUAUCGGCAUAUUAACUAACCAAUAUAGAGUUCAAGUAAAGUGGACUUGGGGCAACGCCAGGAAAGCCUGUGGUUAGUUUUUUCUUUCAUGUGACCCUCUGCCCAAAUGACGAGUCUGGGAGUGCUGGGAUCCAGGAAAGGUAACCACAGGGCAAGCGAGCACUUUCAGAUCUCUCACAGAAGCUUCCAUCAUCUGUUCGAGUUUGGAUGUUGACAGAGAAAGGUUGCACUGAAACGAGGCUGUCAGAGCAGGAGCAUCAGCCUUUGUCAGGCUGGCAACAAAUACCACUUCUGGAUCUGUGAUCAUGGCCUUUAAAGUCAUAUUUGGUCUAACAGAGUCAUCUGAAGAAACAAGCAACAGGAACCAGAAAAGUUUAAGGAAUGUAUUACAUACCUGGUUGAUAUCAUUGUUAUAAAGGAUAAUGG
rnacentral:lncRNA from 1 species